rnacentral:rRNA from 1 species
AUGAUUCGGCCUCCCUCCAACCAUUGCCAUCGUAAAAUACAAGAAAGCACCCGCUUCAAUCCAUAUUUGAAGGAUUGUGUUGGAGCAAUAGAUGGGACUCGUGUGCUUGCUAGAGUCCCAAAAAGUAUCUCAGCUGCCUUUAGGGGUAGAAAGGAGGGGACUACCCAAAAUGUGAUGGCCGCAGUAGACUUUGAUCUAAAGUUUACCUAUGUACUUGCGGGUUGGGAGGGGUCAGCUCACGAAGCCCAUAUACUUGCAAAUGCAUUGGAGAGGGAAGAUGGGUUGAAAGUUUCCACAGGUAAUAAAUUAGAGCCUACUACCUAA